AGGCAUGCAUAUAUAUAUAUAUAUAUAUAUAUAUAUAUAUAUAUAUAUAUGCAUGCCU
rnacentral:miRNA from 1 species